CAUCACCUCACCAGCAGCGAGUAAACAGUCCUCCAGGAUGUCGCAAGGCGCUAUGUUUAAGGCGUAAAUGUUAAAUGAUAUGAAGUACUAGCUAUGGUACAGAAGCUAUCGGUGAGUAAUUUAUAAACAAAGAAAGGCGCUGGAAACGGUAAACCGAGCAUUCGAGCUUUCGUAACCCCACAGUGGAAGCCGAGCGGCGGCUCAAUGAUGUCUGCGCUACGUUAAGCUAGCAUGCUAAGCUAAAUGCUAGCCGCGGCUAACUGGUGAUGAUAGAGCGCAGCCUGAGCUCCAAGCGGACAUGGCAGCGGGAGACAGAGCCGCUUCUGGCGGCUCUCUGGAGUCUACUCUAGACAGGAAGUUUCAAAGUGUGACCAACACGAUGGAUUCAAUUCAAGGACUGUCAAGCUGGUGCAUCGACAACAAGAAGUACCACAGCGUGAUCGUGCGACACUGGAUGAAGUGUUUGAAGAAAUCCGAUGCCUCACACAGGCUGAACCUGGUGUACCUCGCCAACGACGUCAUUCAAAACUGCAAAAGGAAAAACGCCAUCGUGUACCGCACGGCGUUCGCCGAGGUGCUUCCAGAAGCCUUCUUGCUAGUUAACUAUGAAGGUGACCCCAAGGUGAUUAAAUCAGUGGAGAGGAUACUAUCCAUCUGGGAGGAGAGGGCUGUGUACUCAGGGACGCUCAUUUCUGAUCUUAGGACUACUUUAGUGAAAGAGGAGUCCCCUCCCGAGACGCCUGUGGAGCAAAAAACUCCCGUUGAAUCAAAAGCGGAUCUACGGUCCAAGGUUGUUGCCGAGUUUGUGCCCCAGGCACUCAUAGACCAACUGUCCAAGUACAAGAGAUCUCUGGAGGAGGUUGACCUCAGAGAGAAACAGCUGGCAGCUAUGAGGGUUGACAUCUGCAGUUCUGAUGCCCUCAAGAAACUCAAAGAUAAGGCAGGAGGAAAGAAGUUUUCCAAGGACUUUGAAGAAGGAAGUGCACAGCUGCAGGAGUUUGUAAAGUUCUUCGACAAACAGAGCAAGAUAGGACCUCAAGUCAUGGAGGCACUCAGCAACGCAGAUAUCUUCUACGAGAUGCAGUACAAGGAGGUCAAGAUCGUUGCUAAUGCCUACCAAACGUUUGCCAACCGGGUGUCCCACCUCAAGCGUAAGCUGGACUCCCUGAAAUCCAACCUACCAGACCUGGACGAGUCCCCCAUCCCCUCCCCCUCCGCAGACGCACCAUCUCCAACGGGCUCAGAGUCUCCUUUUCACGGUCUGGAUAUGGCCCACCCCGAUCCAGAUCUUGAUGGCUCUGCUAUGGAUGAUGAGGCAGAGCCGCCGGCCCCGAGCCCGCUGUCCUCCCCGGGAGGAUCCCCCAGAGACCCAGAGGUUCUCGGGGAGAAUGACAAUCGCCAAGUGGAGGACAUGGAGCUCUCAGAGGAGGAAAUGGACAGCGGUGGUAUCAUAGUUGAGGAGCAGAGUAAAUCCGUCCCCCACCCCGAGGUGUCCACUGCAAUCCCUGCAAAAAGUGAGCCAUCGGUAGCAGCAGCGCAGCUCGUCACGCAGGCCACGCCCCCCGUAGCCGCUCCUGCAGCCGCUGUGGAGAAUGUUGACAUGGGUAAAAUUGGCUCCAUCCUCAACAGUUUAAGCUCCGUGAUGAAGAACACAGGACCAUCAGUGGAAAGUCCUCCUGCAGCUGCCCCUGCCAGGUCCUCAGUGAAGACCACACCUGCUGCCCCUGUGGCCUCACAGGAUGCCAGCUCACUGGUAAACCUCCUCUCCAAGGUGGAUGUCAGUCCUGCAGAUCUCCUCAGUGCUCUGUCCAAAGUCCAGGGCCAAGGCAGCCUCGAUGGCAUCACUUCUCUUCUGGGCAGCUCGACUGCAAAUGUCGCCCCAGACAUCUCCUCCUCCAGCACAGGCGCGAUUACUCCCUCUCCGUCAUCUACAUCUACAUCUGCAUCAGCAGUGCCCUCUCAGAGCCAGUCUUUCCCCUUUGUUGCACCUGUGCCUUCUUCAUCCAGCUCUACUGCGAGGCAGAGCUCAAGUAUCCAAGAACCCCCUCAGACCUCCACCCCAGCCUCUGCCCUGGUCCAGGCUCUUCACAGAGACAUGGACUUGACAGCAGAGACAGAGCCGUCUUCGUCCUCUACGAGCUUAGAGUCUAAGAUCCAUAGCUUCCUGCAGGGCAACCCUGCUUUCAGUGCAUUCGACCUGGGUUUCUCUUCAAACCCAGCUGUGGGAGCAGAUAAUCUGAGCCCAGCAACUGGCACUGACACCCAAGAUGGGACCCCAGUGCGGGAUGAGGGAGGAGGCACCCCAACUCAAGAUGAGAUCAUGGACAAACCAGCAUUGUUCCCAUUCGCUUCCAACACAAAUCCGUCAUCUGUUGGUAAAGCUGCAAAAACAGUUCCUAUUGCAUUCAAAAAUAGCACCCAGCGGAACCCCAACAAUCCCCAACAGCAACCUCACAUGCAGCCAGGUGUGGCUCAGAAUGGACAGGUCUACCAGCCGUACCCGUACGGCAAACAGGAGAUGUCAGAACACAGGAGUGCUGCACCUGUUGCGCAUUACCAGCAGAUGUCUGCACAAACAGGAGGGCCGGUGCCUGGAGAAAGAGCCCCAGGCAGUGCCGGCAGCACACAGACAGCUGAGGGCUUUCAGGGGGGGAGUGAAAGGAGCUGGUACAGGGACACUUACCCAGAGGGGAGCUCUCAGCAGCCCAGCAGCUACAAUAUGACAGUGCCUGGAGGGCCUAUAGAAAACAAGACACCAGGACUUUAUCCAUAUCAAGCUGAGCGAACUCAGGAACCUCAAGAGUUUGUGUCCGAGCAGGGUUCCUCCACAAACCCUGCUUUCUUCAGAAACAACCUUCCUCCUGUCCCAAGGUUACCUCCCCCUCCUCAUCUUUUUGAUGGCCCUCCUUCCUCGAUGGGUCCUCCUGGGCAGCAGCCAGGUCCUGGUGCUGACAUGGGGGAGGUGUUUGGUGGCAGAGUUGACAGUGUCAUCAGUGGAAUGGUGGUCCAUGACCACCAACACAAGUCAUCGUUUCAUCCGGCUGAUCGGCCGUAUGACAUUGACCAGCAUCGGCCGCGGCACCCUGAGGACCUGCGUUUCCAGGAGGACCACAGCGGUUACCACGAUGAGCUCCGCCCACACGAUGCCCCUUUCCAACAGGGCAAUCCCUACCGUGAUGAAUCAUAUCACAGACCAGGCAGUCCUCCACACCACUACCCCAUGGUCCGGGGGCGCCUCACUCCUCCAUGCUCACCCUCAGAGGACCCUUUCUAUGCCCAGCGGCACAGCCCCCCUCCUCCACACUACACUCCAAGGAGACCACCACCACCACGCCAUGAAAUCCGUCAUCCUGGUCUGCGACCGCCACAUCGGCCUCCCCACCCAGCACACCACCCACACCCCCCACACCCCCGAGGGCCGCCGCGCCCGCCGUUUCCUCGGUUCCGCGGCCCCAGUCCGAUGUUAAGAGGCAAGCGUCUAGGUCCGGGUCCAGGUCCAGGCCCAGGCCCAGGCCCAGGUCCAGGUCCGGGUCCAAGAGGAGGGGGUCCAAUGUUUCCCCCGAAAAGACCCUUUCUCCCCCCACGAUACUGACUGACUGACCGGACAUGUAGCUUUGACCUCUUUAAUGUCAUGAAGAAAGACUGUUGUUGAGGUCCGCAUGCUGCCAUGAGAAGUUCCUGAACAGCUGAGAACGUGGGUGGAUGAAAGUUCAGGUGAGGAGGUGGGUGAAGACAAAGUUUUACUGACGAGGAAUUAAUUCACCAGCUACCAGAAGAAAACCGUAAAUGGCGAAGAACGGAGGAUGUGCAGAGGGGUGAAGAGAGACAACAGCAAGAGACAUAAAGCAGGCGGAGGCUCUGAGAGGGCUGCUGAACUGAAGAGUGAAGAAAGAAGAUUAAAGAAAAUAAGAGGGAUCCACGGCUACACUUUGAUGUGAUGGAAACCUUUCCCCCCUCUCCAACACGUUAACUGAUGGAGGUGGGGGGUUGAUGCUGUGGUGGCUUCUCCUCUUUGAAUCCUGCGCAGCUCCCAGUGAUGGCUCUUCAUGGUCUGUUAUGGAUGCUGUGCGCCGCAGCAGCUGAUUGUGGGUUUGAGAGGAGAACACAGGAGAACUGGAAGGUUCCACAAAGAGGCCCGUGUGAGUAAGUACAGCCAGGAUUAACAUGCCGUUAAUCCAUCAAAUUACUCAUAUUUGUGCCAAAUUUAGGUUUAUAGUGAUUUUUUUUAUUGGGCCAGAAGGUUUCUUCUGACUGGAAACAACAUAAACAAGUGACUAAAUUGUGUUGGAAUUGUGUUUUGUUUACUUUUACCAAAAAUGCAAAGUUAUUCACAAUCCUGGAAAUUGUUGAAAAUUUCCAAAAUUCCCAAAACGUCCUUGUGAUUUCUCACGUUCCAGAGCAUUUACGUGAACUGUAAACCGAGAACAGCUGCUUUAGUAGUUUUCUAGUCAGUCAUUGCAAGUCACGGUUCAAACCAAAAAGCUCAGUGAGGAUCUUUUCUCACAAGACAAGCUAAAUCCCAGUGUUUUUAAGUGUUAACGGCCACUGUGCAAGGCGAAAUCUCAAAGUACGAGGAGUUCCACGCUGAAAAAUCUCAGAGGGUGUAGUAGGAAGCCAAAAGGGACCCACGUGCCGGCAAAAUUGAUGGAAGAAAAAUCCAAGGAUCACCACCAAGGCCAUCGUGAUGAAUCUGAGCAGCCCUGGUAGCAACGUCUCAUGACAGACACUAAAUAUGGUUGGUCUCUGGGGAGGUUUUCCAAGGAGGACUCCACUUCUCCGAGACAGACUAACAAGAGCUCACCUGGGCAAAGAAGAAAACGGCUUUGGGUCAUCAAUUCUGUGGUUAGAUGAGAUGAAAACGGGCGAAAGAAAGAAGAAGCAUUCAACUCCAAGAGGACCGUCUGCACGGUCCAAGCACGGUGGUGGCAUUGUCAUGUGUUGACAAUAUUAAGAUCCUGGAGGAAAACAUCAGGCAGUUUGCAGAGAAACUUUUAGGCAGCGUUGAACCUUACAGCUGAAGUGAAGAAAUAGUUAAGAGAACAUCAACAUUUUGGAGUCCAGACCUGAAUCCAUCUGUUGAGGGAGCUGAAGACCAGAGUGAUGACAACCAGGAUUCCCAAUUAAAA